rnacentral:lncRNA from 1 species
AUGAGUUUUAUAGGGACUUUCUUGAUGUAAAACUAUACAUUUUUUUCGUUUAAUGUGGUAUUUCCAUUUUUAUAUAAUUUACUACCAUUUUAAGAUAGAUGUACAUUUUAAGAUAGAUGUUUAAAUCUUAAUGUACUUUUUCCAUUUUUUAAAAUGUUAAUUUCCAUUUCUUAUAUUUUUAUUUACGUAAUAUCUAUAUUUUAUAUUUUAAAAUAGAUAUUUAAAUCUUAAUCUACUUUUUUCAUUUUUUUAAAUUGUGUAUUUACUUAUAUUAUAUAUUUU